ACGUAGGGGGCGAGCGUUGUCCGGAAUUACUGGGCGUAAAGAGCACGUAGGCGGGAAUUUAAGUCAGAUGUGAAAGACCGGGGCUCAACUCCGGGGUUGCAUUUGAAACUGAAUUUGUUGAGGGCUGGAGAGGAAAGCAGAAUUGCUGGUGUAGGGGGGUUUUUGUACGGACUUGGGAGGUGGGGUGGUAAGGAAGGGGUAGCAAUGAGAAUAAUCUUCCGGUGAGGUAGGUAAGCUAGUGAUGAGUGUAG
rnacentral:rRNA from 1 species